rnacentral:rRNA from 1 species
CAAUAGCGUAUAUUAAAGUUGUUGCAGUUAAAAAGCUCGUAGUUGGAUUUCGGGGUGGCCUGGCUGGUCCACCGCAAGGUGUGUACUGGUCAGCUGCCCUUCCUCUCGAAAGCCCCGACUGCUCUUCAUUGUUGUGGUCGGGUAGUUCGAGACGUUUACUUUGAAAAAAUUAGAGUGUUCAAGGCAGGCCGUCGCCUGAAUACAUUAGCAUGGAAUAAUGGAAGAGGACCUUGGUCCUAUUUUGUUGGUUUCUGGGGCCGAAGUAAUGAUUAAGAGGGACAGUUGGGGGCAUUCGUAUUUAAUUGUCAGAGGUGAAAUUCUUGGAUUUAUGAAAGACGAACUAGUGCGAAAGCAUUUGCCAAGGAUGUUUUCAUUAA